AUCAGAGAGUCCCUCAGACCUCUGUUUGGAACAGAAAGUGCAAUCCGAGAAAACGAGAAUCAAACAUAAAAACAAGAACAAUGGGAGAAGAAGAAAUUAAGGAAGUCGAGUUUCCGCGGUCGAUGACGAAGGCCCAGUUCCUCUCCUGGAAGCGCCAGAAGGCUGAUGAUGCAUCUGCUAAAAGAGCUGAAGCAGAGAGGAAACGCGCGGAGGAUAUUGCUGCAGGGACAGUGCAAAUGAAUGGCCGAGAGCUUUUUGUGCACGAACCUUGGGUUUUUGAUAACACUAUGUAUUGAGGUCAUGUACCAAAACCCGGGUGGAAUCGAGAGCUGUGCAGCAGGAUUGACACUCUGGGGACAGAAGAAAGCAGCUGGCUGCUGGUUGAGGUAGGACGGCCUCUGAUUCCCACCACUGUGGCCUGCCGUCAUCUGGUCAUGGAAAACAAGUAUACGGCAGUAGUAUCAAUGUCAUCAAUCUUGGUGAAGUAAAAUGAAACUGAAACAGUUUGGGAAUUGAUUUCCGCACACCCAUUUUCUCUUUCUGCACACCCCUCUUUAUUUAUGUCCAUUGAUUCUCCUUUGAUUUGUUCGUUUCAAUGACCAGAAAUAAACGAGGUGUGUGCGGGAGAGAAAACGAGUGGAAAUCACUUCUUA